UACGGAGGGUGCUAGCGUUGUUCGGAAUUACUGGGCGUAAAGCGCGCGUAGGCGGCUUUGUAAGUUAGAGGUGAAAGCCCGGGGCUCAACCCCGGAACUGCCUUUGAGACUGCAUCGCUUGAAUCCGGGAGAGGUGAGUGGAAUUCCGAGUGUAGAGGUGAAAUUCGUAGAUAUUCGGAAGAACACCAGUGGCGAAGGCGGCUCACUGGACCGGUAUUGACGCUGAUGUGCGAAAGCGUGGGGAGCAAACAGG
rnacentral:rRNA from 1 species